rnacentral:rRNA from 1 species
AUUGAACGCUGGCGGCAUGCUUUACACAUGCAAGUCGAACGGUAACAGGCCGCAAGGUGCUGACGAGUGGCGAACGGGUGAGUAAUGCAUCGGAACGUGCCCAGUCGUGGGGGAUAACGCAGCGAAAGCUGUGCUAAUACCGCAUACGAUCUAUGGAUGAAAGCGGGGGACCGUAAGGCCUCGCGCGAUUGGAGCGGACGAUGUCAGAUUAGCUAGUUGGUGGGGGAAAGGCCCACCAAGGCGACGAUCUGUAGCUGGUCUGAGAGGACGACCAGCCACACUGGGACUGAGACACGGCCCAGACUCCUACGGGAGGCAGCAGUGGGGAAUUUUGGACAAUGGGCGCAAGCCUGAUCCAGCAAUGCCGCGUGCAGGAAGAAGGCCUUCGGGUUGUAAACUGCUUUUGUACGGAACGAAACGGUCUGGGUUAAUACCCUGGGCUAAUGACGGUACCGUAAGAAUAAGCACCGGCUAACUACGUGCCAGCAGCCGCCGUAAGAC